rnacentral:miRNA from 1 species
AACCUCGCCAACCCAGGAGGGAAUCCUCCUGGCCGGCAAGGUUGUCGCCGGCCAGGAGGGACUGGUCGGUGAGGCUGUACAACCUCGCCGACCAGGAGGAUUCCCUCCUGGGCCGGCGAGGUU